rnacentral:rRNA from 1 species
UACGUAGGGAGCAAGCGUUGUUCGGAUUUACUGGGCGUAAAGGGCGCGUAGGCGGCAAUUCAAGUCAUCUGUGAAAUCUCCGGGCUUAACUCGGAACUGUCAGAUGAUACUGCUUUGCUAGAGUGCAGAAGGGGCAAUCGGAAUUCUUGGUGUAGCGGUGAAAUGCGUAGAUAUCAAGAGGAACACCUGAGGUGAAGACGGGUUGCUGGGCUGACACUGACGCUGAGGCGCGAAAGCCAGGGGAGCGAACGGG